rnacentral:rRNA from 1 species
AGGGUGUAAACGCUGCGGGCUUGGUGUUGGGGGUCCUUUGAGGGCGCCCAGUGCCGGAGAGAAGUUGUUAAGCCUGCUGCUUGGGGAGUACGUCCGCAAGGAUGAAACUUAAAGGAAUUGGCGGGGGAGCACCACAACGCGUGGAGCCUGCGGUUUAAUUGGAUUCAACGCCGGACAACUCACCAGGAGCGACGGUUACAUGAAGGCCAGGCUGAUGACCUUGCCUGAUUUUCCGAGAGGUGGUGCAUGGCGUAGUCGUGU